CCACCCCUGAGGGGGAGAGAGGACAACAACUCUCCCUCUUCACCCUAUCGAACUCGUCAAAUUUUGAUGAGUGCAUAAGCAAUGAUACACACCUACAUAUGGACACCGUAUCUCUAUAACGCAACGCUUUGUGGGCCCGUAACGACGAGUGCUCCACCUCACAUCUGUAGCCAGUCGUUCGCGGAGGUUGUGAGGGGCAACGGAAACACGAAAGAAAAAGGAACCUUGUCUUCGCCACCCUGCCCUAGUCGUCUUCCGUGGAAGCGCAGAUUUCAAGAGACGCUCAUCCUUGUCUUUCAUGCACGCAGAGUGAGGUGAAACGAUGCUCGUCAGCGCACGGGGCUCUUCUGCUGUGGUUCAGUCGACAACAUUGGCUUCGCAUGUACACGAUCUUCGAGUCCUCAAUGCCGCGAUUUCCUUUCUCUGCGAAUCGUACGGGGCUCUACGAGCACACUAACUACUGCUCCUACAGGGCCAGAGCGCGUUCGCUGUUAUCAGGGCUGCUCGUCGUUGUGAGCGAUCUUGUCUCCCUUUUCUUUACCCCAUCAGACCAACAUCGUCUUGUUUCUUUCCCUGUCUUGCAACCCUGAGUGCACACACACACACACACACACACACACACACACACAUGCAUUCACGUAUCGGACGAGAG
rnacentral:misc_RNA from 1 species